rnacentral:rRNA from 1 species
UGGCUCAGAACGUACGCUGGCGGCACGCCUAACACAUGCAAGUCGAACGAAGUAGCAAUACUUAGUGGCAGACGGGUGAGUAACAUGUAGGUAUCUGCCCUUUGGCCUGGAAUAACACGAGGAAACUUGUGCUAAUACCGGAUAAGUCUUUACGGAGAAAGCUUUAUGCACCAUUGGAUGAGCCUGCACUUGAUUAGUUUGUUGGUGGGGUAAUGGCCUACCAAGACUGUGAUCAAUAGCUGAUUUGAGAGGAUGAUCAGCCACAUUGGGACUGAGACACGGCCCAAACUCCUACGGGAGGCAGCAGUGGGGAAUCUUGCACAAUGGAGGAAACUCUGAUGCAGCGAUGCCGCGUGAGUGAAGAAGGCCCUUGGGUUGUAAACCUCUUUUAUCAAGGAAGAAGAUCUGACGGUACUUGAUGAAUAAGCCACGGCUAAUUCCGUGA